UCUGACCGUGCAAAGGUAGCGUAAUCACUUGUUCUUUAAAUAAGGACUAGUAUGAAUGGCACCACGAAGGUUUUACUGUCUCCUUUUUUUAAUCAGUGAAACUAAUCUCCCCGUGAAGAAGCGAGGAUAAAAUUAUAAGACGAGAAGACCCUAUGAAGCUUCAAACAAUAUAGUAUCUGCCACACAACACUAAAAUCUCCGCUUAAUUAACUUAUCAGGCAAUGUUACUGUAAGUUUUUGGUUGGGGUGACCACGGAGCACAAUAUAACCUCCACGCUGAAAGAAUCUUCUCUAAGCCAAGGAUCACACUCCUAAACAUCAACAUAUUGACACCAUUGACCCAAUAUAAUUGAACAACGAACCAAGUUACCCUAGGGAUAACAGCGCAAUCCACUUCAAGAGCCCAUAUCGACAAGUGGGUUUACGACCUCGAUGUUGGAUCAGGGCAUCCUAGUGGUGUAGCCGCUACUAAAGGUUCGUUUGUUCAACGAUUAAAACCUUACGUGAUCUGAGUUAGGACCCGGAGAAGA
rnacentral:rRNA from 1 species